GUAGGGUUUCUUCAGAAAUAUUCCCUCAGUUGAAUCUGAGCAGUGAGUGUGAGCUAAAGCUGGGGUUAGCAAACUUUCUCUGUGAAAUGCUAGAUGCUAAAUAUUUUGGCUUUGCAGGCCGUAUGGUUUACGUCAUAACUACUUAACUCAUAAUAGCAGCCAUAGAAAAUAGAUAUGAGUGUGGAUCUGUUCCAAUAAAACUUCAUUUAUAAAAAUGUGUUGGGUUAGAUUAGGCAGGAGAAUCAUAAUAGUUGGCCCUUGAAAUGAAGGAAACCAAUUAGCUGUGAUGUGAAAUGUUGUCUAUUAUUGCUGGCUAUCCCACAAACAUAAAUAAAACUUAUUGACUUUUCUUAUAAUGGAAUGAAUAUCUUAAAUCGGAGAGCCCACCUACAGGGCAUUCCUGGUGGUGGUGCAGCAGCUAGUACAUGUCUCAUUGUACAUGACCUCUGUUUUUGUAUUUUAGAGUUGGAAUGGAAGUUAUGUCAAGGAGGAGAUUGAAGUUUGCGGGCAGUUUCAGAAUGACAUCUCAGCCAUGUCACUUCUGGGGCCUUCUCUUUGCUCUGAGCACCUCAUGCAGCCCUUUCUAACCCCUGAGGCUGAGGGAACUCACCGAGGACGGGGAGAGCUCUGCCUCAGACCUCAGGAGGUGCACGCUUUGGUCCACUGCGCGGAGGGCACAGAGCGACUGAGGAGAAGCUGUGACUCGCAGGUGGGCCUGCGAGGCUGGAAGACUUACUGCUGGGUUGAAGCUCAAAUCCACCUGCGAGACAUGAAGGAACAGUCAUCCUGCACUUCUGCUUGUGUCAUCCUGCAGUGACCACAUUUCUGGGUCAUCCUGACAUUUAGCUUUAAUGACUACGCUGGGAAGCAUCAGACAGGAAGGAACCUCUUUUAUCAUCUUGCCUUUGCUGUUUGAAAGGCUGUGUUGCCCUAAGGAGGCAACGCAGGGUCAUAAGGGAUAGAUGCCUUGCUUAAUUUUACUAGUAGAGGCGCAUCAUUACCUCUGAUUCAUAAUACAGUUUUCUAUUUGUUCUUCAAGUUUUUGAAACGUUUGAGGCACAGCGUCUUACAUACCUCACACAAUUGGAUCAGUGGAAUUGGGCACCAUGGAUACAAAGUUAGGGUACGUUUUAUGUGGAAGCAAUUUUGUGGACUUGGAAAAUUAUUGUGCUAGCUGCCUGGAAACUUUUGGACAACUCCUUUUACUUUUCUGGGUUCAUUUUUUCCCCUCCCUGAGGUUAAAUAGGCAGUACCUAUGAUACCAUUUCUGUUCUUGUGAUUUUUUUGCUAAAGACACUCACCUUGUUGGCUAGACAGUUUUCAAUCUCAAAACUCUGUGAAUCUCCAAUAACUUCUCCAUUUGGGAAAAUGGUAAAGAUGAACAAUCGUGCAAUGGGAGCAAUGUCUGACUUCACAGGGAAGUCUAAGGAAAAGCUGCCUUUCACUGGGCAUGAGGAGAAUGAGACAAAAUGGUCAUAGGUCAGGACGCUGUUACUAGGUCUUAUCCAACUUAGAACUGUGCCUAUGCAUUCAAUGGCUUAACCUCUUUAAUGCCAUUCUAGUGAAGGGGUAAAAAUUAAUAGGCUAAUGUCUCCUUUCACCACUUCCAUUGUAGAAUAAGUUCAAGUUCCUUACAUUCACGCUUAUCUUUACCUGAUUUUAUACCUUAUUUAUGCCUAAAAAAACUUAAAUCUGCUCAAAAGUAUUCUGCUGAUAUAUAUACACAUUUAAUUAAAGCCUGAUGGACUCAUUUAAAAAUUAAGAAUAAGAAAUUUAUUUCGUGAUGAAUAGCAACCAUUUCUUUUAGAUUUCAGACAAGUGAUGAUUUUCCAUUUAAAGACAGAGCUGUAAUUUGUAAGAUAUAAUCAUAGAGUUUAAAAUUUUUUCAAAUAUAUGCCUUUUUUGUUGUUGUGACGAGAAGACAACAAAAUUUAAUCAUUUUUAAAGAAUGCGUUAGUGGUGCUAAGUACAUUCACAUUGCUAUGAAACAGAUCUCCAGAUCUUUUCCAUCUUGCAAAUUGAAACUCUAUCCCUAUUUAACAACUGCUCUAUUUCCCCUUUCCCCAACUUCUUGGGGACCAGAAAGGCAGUACUAUGGCAUUCAUGUUUUUGUACCAUUGGAGAGAUCAAGUUUCAGCUUAUAAUUCUAAAAAGAGUAAGUUCCCCUCUAAAAAGAGGGAAAUUUCAACCCUUGUAUUUGCUAUCUUGAGCUAACCAUACAAGGUAAGAAUAGAUUGAAAUAUUAUAAACAUGGAACGAGAAGUUAUGGUACAUAACUUUCUCUUUUUUUUUUUUGGCAGAGAAAGUUUUGGAGGGAAAAAUAACCUCUUAGUAAUGUUUUGGCAGAGGAAACUUUGGAAGAAUAACCUUUUUGUAAUGUUUUGGCAGAGAAAGAAAGCUUUGGAAGGAAAGUAACCUUUUAGUAAUGAAAAUUGUGAAGGCUUCAUUAUUAAAAACCUGAAUUCUGAAUUUCAAACAGAUUUUGAAAUAGUUCUGAAAUUAAUAAUUUGUAUCCUGAUAUUAAAACACUAUGCAAAAUAGCAUAUAAAAAAGAAUUAUAUAAGUAAGCUAAACUUAAGUAAUUCAAAAGCUUGAAAACUCGUGAAAUAAGUUUUUUUUUCUUCUUCUUAAUCUAACACAGUAAAGAGUUCUCAGUAGCUCUUUAGUGGAGAACAAAUUGGCAAUUAAUAGUGUAAUUAUGAUGUGUGAUUAAAACAGUUUUAUUCUAAAUAAUUGUGAUUUAACUACUUAUAUAGAGAAAUACUUUCAAUUAUUGCUUCAGUUAGUUUCAAUACAUUUUUUGUGAUGUGUUCAUUAAGUAAAUAAUUAAUGGAGUUUUCUUUAUAUUACUAGUCAGAGAUUAUUUCUUUUAUGAAUUAUGCACAAAUUAAAAUAUCAGAAAAAAAUAGAUAAAUAGUGUUUUUAGACACACCUCUUUCUGUAAGUGUGUUACAUGCUUCAUUGUUAAAAGAAAGUAGAAAAACAGGCAACAAGAUGGAGUGAAGGGGAACCUUGCAAGCAAGAGGGUCCAGAUCGCUGUAUCGAUCUCUACAUAAAUAUUGUGGAAAAUGAUAUUCAAAACUGCAGCAUUCUUUAAUGUUUAUUUCAAACAAUUAUUGAAAGUGCUGAUUAAUAGCUUAUUUUAAAUUAAACCUUCUUGAAUGUUGUUUUGAUAUUAAAAACAGCCUGGUAAGGAAAGAAACCAUAAAAGUAAAGAAAAAUCAUAGACUUGGAACAAAUCCUAAGCAUUGUUAAGUUUAGCACUGGGGUUGUGUGGAGUUUGGUGAAAUACUUGCCUUUGUUUAGAUUAAUUACAGGAAUGUUCAUGGGUUCUUGUUUCAGUGAUUUAAACCUUGAUAUAGAUUUAAUUAGAAUAGAAAAUAAUACUGGUUUCCUUUCUCCUAACUUAUUCAUGAAGUACACUCAAGUUAAUGGGUGAAGUACUCAAUUUCAUGCCCGCAGCACAAUAUGCAUCCUCAUAAAGAGCCUAGCUCAGAGACUGCACAAAAAAUAACGUCCCCCUCCAUGAUACUUGACUCUCUUCUUCUUUGCAAUUCUAAGAUUAAAGAUGGUCAAUGUACAUUUGUUGUUAGGGUUAAAAAUAGAAGAAAGCGCCCUAACUGGUUUGGCUCAGUGGAUAGAGCGUUGGCCUGCGGACUGAAGGGUCCCAGGUUCGAUUCCAGUCAAGGGCAUGUACCUUGGUCCGCAGGCCGAGGCUCUAUCCACUGAGCCAAACCCACUAGGGCUUUUGUUCCCUUUCUUAGUGUAAAGGGAUAAUGGAAAUGAUUUCCCCAUUUGUGAACUGUCACUGAGUAAGGGUGGAUGUGUUGGCAAGGAAACGGGGAGACUGAUUGGAAGAUACUCACUGUCUCCUGGCUCUACAGGCAGAGCAUGUGUUCCUGAUCUGACGAUGCCUCCCUUAGCCAUGAUCUGAAAUGAAAAAUCAGCAGAGAAAAGAACUUUGCUGACACUGUUUUCAACACCUAAUUCUCCACAUAACCUAUUUUUUUUUUUUAAAUUAGUUUCAGAGAGGAAGGGCGAGGGAGAGAGAGAUAGAAACAUCAAUGAUGAGAAA